rnacentral:rRNA from 1 species
CAGCCGCCGCGGUAAUACGUAGGUCCCGAGCGUUGUCCGGAUUUAUUGGGCGUAAAGCGAGCGCAGGCGGUUAGAUAAGUCUGAAGUUAAAGGCUGUGGCUUAACCAUAGUACGCUUUGGAAACUGUUUAACUUGAGUGCAAGAGGGGAGAGUGGAAUUCCAUGUGUAGCGGUGAAAUGCGUAGAUAUAUGAAGGAACACCGGUGGCGAAAGCGGCUCUCUGGCUUGUAACUGACGCUGAGGCUCGAAAGCGUGGGGAGCAAACAGGAUUAGAUACCCCUGUAGUCCCUGUCUCUUAUACA